CCAAUAGCGUAUAUUAAAGUUGUUGCAGUUAAAAAGCUCGUAGUUGAACUUCGGGGUUUACUUAUUGGUCAGGCUUAAUUGUCUGCACUGGUAAGAUGAAUCUCUACCUUCUGAGGAACUUUCAUGCCAUUUAUUUGGUGUGAUUGGAAAUCAGGACUGUUACUUUGAAAAAAUUAGAGUGUUUAAAGCAGGCUAACGUCUGAAUACAUUAGCAUGGAAUAAUGAAAUAGGACGGACUGAUUCUAUUUCGUUGGUUUCUAGGAUCACCGUAAUGAUUAAUAGGGAUAGUUUGGGGCAUUAGUAUUCAAUUGUCAGAGGUGAAAUUCUUGGAUUUAUUGAAGACUAACUACUGCGAAAGCAUUUGCCAAGGAUGUUUUCAUUAAUCAAGAACGAAAGUUAGGGGAUCGAAGACGAUCAGAUACCGUCGUAGUCUUAACCAUAAACUAUGCCGACUAGGGAUCGGACGAAGUUAAUUUUAUAAUGACGCGUUCGGCACCUUACG
rnacentral:misc_RNA from 1 species